CUGGUUAGAGACCACAAUGAAACCAAAUAUACAGCUACCGAGCCAGACUGCCUCACAUCUGGCAUCUCUGGUGUUCUUGCUCCUUCCCUAGAAGCAUCUGGCUCUAGCUACUCUCAGAAACAUGACAAAAGUUUAGGAGAGGAGCGCCUAACUGAAAUGGCUACCAUUAAUGGUAGGUUGGUGUGUAAGACGAAGAGGAGACUAUGCUUUUGAGGUUCCAGAGAUAUACAGAAUACGCAGUUUGAUUUAGCUUUAAACAAUUUCAUUAAAAAAGACUGUAUUUUAGGCAAUUUAACAUCACAGAAGUCAUGAACAGGAAUAUACUGAUGACAAUUGUGUAAUGCAGCACUCUCAAGUGACAGCAGCAUACAUUUCUGCUGCAUAACCACCAACAACAUUAAAGCCUGUAGGGCAACAGAGAAAGAGGCCUUCACAGAUUUCUUGAAAAGCCUUUCAGGGCUCAAUUAUUAACUGCCUUACUGUGAAAAAUCUGAUCCACCAGUUUUAAUGUUGGUUUUAACAGUAAAUGCAUAUUCCCUGCUGGCUUUCUCUACAUGACUUAAUUAACACAUUUUCAGGGUUUGUCUCAGUUCAGAGACAGAGUCACAGAGCAGGAUAGCCACAUGUCCCAAAUGAAUUUUGUGAAGACAUCUCAUACUCUUUUCCAGUCUGUGAAUAUCAGACUGAAC